CCUACGGGAGGCUGCAGUCGAGAAUCUUCCGCAAUGGACGAAAGUCUGACGGAGCGACGCCGCGUGAUGGAUGAAGUCCCUAGGGACGUAAACAUCUUUUGUGGAGGAGAAAGUAGCGAGAUUUAUCUCGGUAUUGAUAGUACUCCAAGAAUAAGGGGUUGCUAAACUCGUGCCAGCAGCAGCGGUAAUACGAGUGCCCCAAGCGUUAUCCGGAAUCAUUGGGCGUAAAGGGUGUGUAGGCGGUCUCUUUAGUCUUCUGUCAAAUUCUUCGGCUCAACCGGGGUUUUGCAGUGGAAACGGAGAGACUAGAGAGUGCGAGAGGUGAAUGGAACUCAUGGAGUAGGGGUGAAAUCCGUUGAUAUCAUGGGGAACACCAAAAGCGAAGGCAAUUCACUGGCGCAUCUCUGACGCUGAGACACGAAAGCGUGGGUAGCGAACGGGAUUAGAUACCCCUGUAGUC
rnacentral:rRNA from 1 species